rnacentral:tRNA from 1 species
CAGGGAGACAACAAAAUGUUUAAUAUUAAUUUUGUCACCUUAGGUCGAUCGGUAUCUCACAUUCUUAAUUAAUUAAGAAUUUCAUUUUCUAAGUUUUUUCUAGGUCACACCCAUUACUUUCCCUGGGCCAUUAGCUCAGGUGGUUAGAGCGCACCCCUGAUAAGGGUGAGGUCCCUGGUUCAAGUCCAGGAUGGCCCAUAUCUCUGUGUUGGGGGUAUAGCUCAGUUGGUAGAGCGCCUGCUUUGCAAGCAGGAUGUCAGCGGUUCGAGUCCGCUUACCUCCACUGAUCACCACCUCUUCCAUAAUUUAUAGAAGGGAAAUGUUUUGAGUUGUGAUCAAAUUCUGAACGAAUCUAGCUUCCUAAUCAAACUUAUUGUAUUAAGAUGCUGGACUCAUUGAAUUAAAUUCAUUGUUUUCAGAGAACCUUGACAACUGCAUAGAUUAUUUUUAAAGACAAUAAGCAUUUUUAAUGAUGCAGAUUUAUUAUUUGUGCGAAUGCAUUAAUAACAAUUCUAUUAAGCUGAUGCUUCAAUUUUGAAGUUAUU